UUGGAGGGCAAGUCUGGUGCCAGCAGCCGCGGUAAUUCCAGCUCCAAUAGCGUAUAUUAAAGUUGUUGCAGUUAAAAAGCUCGUAGUUGAAUUUCGGGGUUCUACCGUUGGUCGGGCUAUUGUCUGUACUGGCGUGUAGAAUUUCUACCUUCUGGGGAACUAUCAUGUUAUUAAUUUAGCGUGGUAGGAAACCAGGACCUUUACCUUGAAAAAAUUAGAGUGUUCAAAGCAGGCUUAUGUCUGAAUACAUUAGCAUGGAAUAAUAAAAUAGGACGGUGGUCCUGUUUUGUUGGUUUCUGAAUCACCGUAAUGAUUAAUGGGGAUAGUUGGGGGCAUUAGUAUUCAAUUGUCAGAGGUGAAAUUCUUGGAUUUAUUGAAGACUAACUACUGCGAAAGCAUUUGCCAAGGAUGUUUUCAUUAAUCAAGAACGAAAGUUAGGGGAUCGAAGACGAUCAGAUACCGUCGUAGUCUUAACCAUAAACUAUGCCGACUAGGGAUCGGACGAUGUUAACUUUUCUUGACUCGUUCGGCGCCUUACGGGAAA
rnacentral:rRNA from 1 species